GACGAACGCUGGCGGCGUGCUUAACACAUGCAAGUCGAACGGAAAGGCCCUUCGGGGUGCUCGAGUGGCGAACGGGUGAGUAACACGUGGGUGAUCUGCCCUGCACUUUGGGAUAAGCCUGGGAAACUGGGUCUAAUACCGAAUAGGACCACGCGCUUCAUGGUGUGUGGUGGAAAGCUUUUGCGGUGUGGGAUGGGCCCGCGGCCUAUCAGCUUGUUGGUGGGGUAAUGGCCUACCAAGGCGACGACGGGUAGCCGGCCUGAGAGGGUGACCGGCCACACUGGGACUGAGAUACGGCCCAGACUCCUACGGGAGGCAGCAGUGGGGAAUAUUGCACAAUGGGCGCAAGCCUGAUGCAGCGACGCCGCGUGAGGGAUGACGGCCUUCGGGUUGUAAACCUCUUUCACCAGGGACGAAGCGUAAGUGACGGUACCUGGAGAAGAAGCACCGGCCAACUACGUG
rnacentral:rRNA from 1 species